GUCUAUUUCUAGGUGUUAUCUUUCAAAUUAAACCUAGAAACUGAUUGUUCCUUUUUGUCACUUGUUACUUGAAUAUGUUGUGUAAAUACGGAAAUAAAUAAAUAAUAA